rnacentral:rRNA from 1 species
AGAGUUUGAUCCUGGCUCAGGACGAACGCUGGCGGCGUGCCUAACACAUGCAAGUCGAACGGAGAAUUUCAAUAAGUUUACUUAGCGAAAUUUUUAGUGGCGGACGGGUGAGUAACGCGUGGGUAACCUACCCAUAAACCCGGGACAACCCUUGGAAACGAGGGCUAAUACCGGAUAAUCUUAAAGCUUGGCAUCAAGAUUUAAGGAAAGGUGGCCUCUGAAGAUGCUACCGAUUAUGGAUGGACCCGCGUCUGAUUAGCUAGUUGGUGGGGUAAAGGCCUACCAAGGCGACGAUCAGUAGCCGGCCUGAGAGGGUGAACGGCCACACUGGGACUGAGACACGGCCCAGACUCCUACGGGAGGCAGCAGUGGGGAAUCUUCCGCAAUGGACGAAAGUCCGACGGAGCAACGCCGCGUGUAUGAUGAAGGUCUUCGGAUUGUAAAGUACUGUCUUUGGGGAAGAACGGUCG